UAGGACCUUCGGGAGGCCUUGGCCCCCGUUAGCCUUUCCUGGAACCUGAGCAACGUCACGACCUUCGCGAGCAGAUCAUCCAGAAUCACGACAUGCGUGACAUCAUUGCAGGGCACCGCCGCGAAUGCGAUCAAGAAGUCGACUACUUGGGAGAACACACUGACGGGUUCCCUGCCUUUUCAAGCUGAGUACGCAAGACAGUUCUACCCGACAAGUUUAAACUUCUGGGUAUCAACAAAUACGACGUCAAGCAGGA
rnacentral:lncRNA from 1 species